rnacentral:rRNA from 1 species
AACGAACGCUGGCGGCAGGCCUAACACAUGCAAGUCGAACGCCCCGCAAGGGGAGUGGCAGACGGGUGAGUAACGCGUGGGAACCUACCUAGUGGUACGGAAUAACUCCGGGAAACCAGUGCUAAUACCGUAUACGCCCUUUGGGGGAAAGAUUUAUCGCCAUUAGAUGGGCCCGCGUCGGAUUAGCUAGUUGGUGAGGUAAAGGCUCACCAAGGCGACGAUCCGUAGCUGGUCUGAGAGGAUGAUCAGCCACACUGGGACUGAGACACGGCCCAGACUCCUACGGGAGGCAGCAGUGGGGAAUAUUGGACAAUGGGCGCAAGCCUGAUCCAGCCAUGCCGCGUGGGUGAAGAAGGCCCUAGGGUUGUAAAGCCCUUUCGGCGGGGAAGAUAAUGACGGUACCCGCAGAAGAAGCCCCGGCUAACUUCGUGCCAGCAGCCGCCGUAA